rnacentral:rRNA from 1 species
GGCCAGCAGCCGCGGUAAAACGUAGGUGGCAAGCGUUAUCCGGAUUUACUGGGUGUAAAGCGUGUGCAGGCGGUUGUGUAAGUAGCGCGUGAAAGCGCCCGGCUUAACCGGGCGAGGACGUGCUGUACUGCAGAACUGGAGGCUGGUAGAGGCGAGUGGAAUUCCGGGUGUAGUGGUGAAAUGCGUAGAGAUCCGGAGGAACACCAGAGGCGAAGGCGACUCGCUGGGCCAGUACUGACGCUCAGACACGACAGCAUGGGGAGCGAACGGGAUUAGAAACCCCGGUAGUCCAUGCCGUAAACGAUGCAGACUAGGUAUCGCGGGGGUAAAACCCGGCGGCGCCGCAGCCAACGCGCUAAGUCUGCCACCUGGGGACUACGGCCGCAAGGUUAAAACUCAAAGGAAUUGGCGGGGGAU